AGGAGUUUACUGUGGACUGUAACACCUGUGUGUGUGAGCAUGGCACGGUGGUGUGCUCCAAGCUUCCCUGUCCAGUUUAUGAGCCCUGGAGUCCAUGGAGCGCCUGCUCAGCUUCAUGUGAGCGAGGCCGGAGAACCAGGACGCGCCGCUGCCAGGACACAGAGGGCGGCCCGCCCUGUGCCGAAGUCACGCAAACAGAAAUCUGUGAUCUGCCGUCGUGUCCAGCGGGUUGUUUGCUGAGUGAGUGGUCGGCCUGGAGCGAGUGCAGCGCCUCCUGUGACGGUGGGUUGUCAUUGCGGAACAAGACGGUCCUCCGAGAGCCAGAGCCCGGUGGGACAGCCUGUGUCGGGCCACUUGAACAGCACGUUGUCUGUAACACCAACAGCUGCCUGCCCGAGUGUCCCGGCACGCAGGUGUCCAGUGACUGUUCAGCUUCCUGUCCGUAUACCUGCCAGGACUUGUGGCCACACACUCAGUGUUUACCUGGACCCUGCA